rnacentral:rRNA from 1 species
AACGAACGCUGGCGGCAUGCCUAACACAUGCAAGUCGAACGCUAUUUAUAGAGUGGCGCACGGGUGAGUAACGCGUGGGAACCUGCCUUUCUCUGCGGAUAACGGUUAGGAAACGACCGCUAAUACCGCAUACGCCCUACGGGGGAAAGGUCCGCCGGAGAAAGAGGGGCCCGCGUCUGAUUAGCUUGUUGGUAGGGUAAUGGCCUACCAAGGCGACGAUCAGUAGCUGGUCUGAGAGGAUGAUCAGCCACACUGGGACUGAGACACGGCCCAG